rnacentral:lncRNA from 1 species
AGUGGCCCACCCUCAGGACCCUCACCACCCAUCAGAGAAGCCUGUCAUUCACUGCCAUAAAUGUGGGGAGCCUUGCAAGGGUGAAGUGCUUCGGGUCCAGACCAAACAUUUCCACAUCAAGUGUUUCACCUGCAAAGUGUGUGGCUGUGACCUGGCACAAGGGGGCUUCUUCAUAAAGAACGGAGAGUAUCUCUGCACCCUGGACUACCAGCGGAUGUACGGGACACGCUGCCAUGGCUGUGGGGAGUUCGUGGAGGGCGAAGUGGUGACUGCUCUGGGCAAGACCUACCAUCCCAAUUGCUUUGCUUGUACUAUCUGCAAGUAAGUGAGCCUAUCUUUCCAAAGCCUACACCUUCCUCCAACAGAGAAAUGCUGGUUUGGGCUGUUAAAGGUUGGAUUAUACACCUUUUGUCUUGAGUAGCACAUACUCUUAUCCUUAGAUUUCUUUCUUACUGUACUAUCAGUCCUAGUAAAAAAAGUAGAUUAGUUGGAAACUGUAUGUGUGAUGUCCUCUACAAAGUAAUAUGACUGAUUUUUAGUAGAUUGAAACUAAUUCUGAAAGCAGCUCUGGGUCUCAAAACAUUUUGGAGCAAUAAAAACAUCAGGGGGAAAUGGCAUAACUGCUUAGAAGGAUAAAGCUUAUUUGGAAGUAUAAAUUCCUAGGCAUGUGUGUGUGUUUAAAAUGGUCUCUUUCAUCUAUAAUAGGCGGUGGCAAACUGUGUCCCAUGGGCUGAAUUAGGCCUGAUACCUGUUUUUGUGGAUAAAGUUCUAUUGGAACACAGCCACUCCCACUUGUGUGUGGCCUAUAGCUGCUUCCACGCUGCAACAACAGAGUUGAGUCAUUGCGACAGAGACCAUAUGGUCCGCAAAGUCUUAAAAAAUUUACAAUCUCAUCUUUGGGGGGAAAUAUUUGCCAACCCUGUUCUCUAUGUAUCUGUCAUCUACCAAGGUUGUAUCUUAACUGUGCAAACCAGCUUGAUUAAAAUGAUCAGUCAGGCUGGGCGUGGUGGCUCACCCUUAUAAUCCCAGCACUUUGGGAGGCCGAGGCAGGUACAUCACCUGAGCUCAAGAGUUUGAGACCAGCCUGGCCAACAUGGUGAAACCCUGUCUCUACUAAAAAUACAAAAAAAUUAGCCAGGCGAGGUGGCAGGUGCCUGUAAUCUCAGCUGCUUGGGAGGCUGAGGCAGGAGAAUGGCUUGAACCCGGGAGGCGGAGGUUGCAGUGAGCCGAGAUCGUGCCACUGCACUCCAAUCUGGGUGACACAGCAAGACUCCAU